rnacentral:rRNA from 1 species
GACAGAGGUCCCGAGCGUUAGGCGGAAUCACUGGGCUUAAAGCGUGUGUAGGCGGACUUCUAAGUGCCUUGUGAAAUCCCACGGCUUAACCGUGGAACUGCUUGGCAUACUGGUUGUCUUGGGCCAUCUAGGGGCGAGUGGAACAAACGGUGGAGCGGUGAAAUGCGUAGAGAUCGGGAGGAACACCCGUGGCGAAGGCGGCCAUCUGGACCAGCACUGACGCUGAGGCACGAAAGCGUGGGGAGCAAACAGG